UACAGAGGUCCCAAGCGUUGUUCGGAUUCAUUGGGCGUAAAGAGCACGCAGGCGGUUUGGCAAGUCGGAUGUGAAAACCCGAAGCUCAACUUCGGGCCUGCAUCCGAAACUGCCCGACUAGAGGUAGGUAGGGGAGAUCGGAAUUCUUGGUGUAGCGGUGAAAUGCGCAGAUAUCAGGAGGAACACCGGUGGCGAAGGCGGGAUCCUGGGCCAGUACUGACGCUGAGGAGCGAAAGCGUGGGGAGCAAACAGG
rnacentral:rRNA from 1 species